CCUACGGGCGGCAGCAGUGAGGAAUAUUGGUCAAUGGACGAGAGUCUGAACCAGCCAAGUAGCGUGAAGGAUGACUGCCCUAUGGGUUGUAAACUUCUUUUAUAAAGGAAUAAAACGAGGCACGUGUGCCUUUUUGCAUGUACUUUAUGAAUAAGGAUCGGCUAACUCCGUGCCAGCAGCCGCGGUAAUACGGAGGAUCCGAGCGUUAUCCGGAUUUAUUGGGUUUAAAGGGAGCGUAGAUGGGUUGUUAAGUCAGUUGUGAAAGUUUGCGGCUCAACCGUAAAAUUGCAAUUGAUACUGGCAGUCGUGAGUACAGUUGAGGUAGGCGGAAUUCGUGGUGUAGCGGUGAAAUGCUUAGAUAUCACGAAGAACUCCGAUUGCGAAGGCAGCUUACUAAACUGCCACUGACAUUGAUGCUCGAAAGUGUGGGUAUCAAACAGGAUUAGAUACCCUUGUAGUC
rnacentral:rRNA from 1 species